rnacentral:tRNA from 1 species
AGAGAGUUAGUCCAAUAAAAGACCUCUGAUUUCGGCUCAGAAGAUCGUGGUUUGAUUCCACGGCCCUCUU